GCCAGCAUAGUGUAGCGGAUUGAGCAUCAGACUACGACUCUGGAGACCAGGGUUCGAAUUCCAGCUCGGCCA